rnacentral:sRNA from 1 species
GGAAUCAUUAAAGAGGGAAAUUGUUGCUUUAUGGCACGGCGGGAGAAGAGUUAGGUAGUUAGUGGGAGUGUAGCAUCCAGAAAGAGGAAAAGAUCCGCUGUGUUCUCUGUGGGAUGAAUAAUACGGCAGCUAGUCCAAUGUCUACUGCAACUUCAAGUAGUGGAAGGAGUACAGGGAAGUCUAUAAGCUUUGCAACAGAAUUACAGAGUAUGAUCUUGUAUUGUUGCUGUUGAGAAGUCCUGGCUGGGAACGGUGGCUAACACCUGUAAUCCCAGCACUCUGGGAGGCUGAGGAAGGAGGAUUGCUUGGGCCCAGGAGUUUGAGACCAGCCUGAGCAACAUAGUGAGAACCCUGUCUCUACUAAAAAUGAAAAAAUAAAAAUAGCUGGUGUGGUAG